rnacentral:rRNA from 1 species
UAACCGUGGUAAUUCUAGAGCUAAUACAUGCUUAAAAUCCCGACUGUUUGGAAGGGAUGUAUUUAUUAGAUAAAAAAUCAAUGCCUUCGGGCUCUUUGAUGAUUCAUAAUAACUUUUCGAAUCGCAUGGCCUUGUGCCGGCGAUGGUUCAUUCAAAUUUCUGCCCUAUCAACUUUCGAUGGUAGGAUAGUGGCCUACCAUGGUUUCAACGGGUAACGGGGAAUAAGGGUUCGAUUCCGGAGAGGGAGCCUGAGAAACGGCUACCACAUCCAAGGAAGGCAGCAGGCGCGCAAAUUACCCAAUCCCGACACGGGGAGGUAGUGACAAUAAAUAACGAUAUAGGGCCCUUUUGGGUCUUAUAAUUGGAAUGAGUACAAUGUAAAUACCUUAACGAGGAACAAUUGGAGGGCAAGUCUGGUGCCAGCAGCCGCGGUAAUUCCAGCUCCAAAAGCGUAUAUUAAAGUUGUUGCAGUUAAAAAGCUCGUAGUUGAACCUUGGGCUUGGUUAGCCGGUCCACCUUUUUGGUGUGUACUGGACCUAACCGAGCCUUUCCUUCUGGCUAACCUUCUUCCUUUUUGGGAGUUGGCGAACCAGGACUUUUACUUUGAAAAAAUUAGAGUGUUCAAAGCAGGCCUUUGCUCGAAUAUAUUAGCAUGGAAUAAUAGAAUAGGACGUUAUGGUUCUAUUUUGUUGGUUUCUAGGACCAUCGUAAUGAUUAAUAGGAACGGUCGGGGGCAUCAGUAUUCAGUUGUCAGAGGUGAAAUUCUUGGAUUUACUGAAGACUAACUACUG